AAAUUCUGUAAAUAAGCAUAUUUAUUGAUCAUAUGACGGUUAAAAUCAUUAAUUAAGAUUGACAUAGCAUUCAUACAAGAGAUGAAAACAGUUUUUAUGACUUGAAAAAAUGCCAUGGGAUAAAUUGAAAGGUUGCAAGAUUGCACACUUGUCACUGUAUAGUGUAUAAAACAACAGGAUUGGUGAGUUUCUAAUAAAUGUUUAGAUCACUGAUGAUCCCAGAGAUGUACAAAGACAUUCAUCAUCAUUUAAUUUUUCUUUUAUGUCAAUCAUUUUAUUAAAAUAUUAUAGUUUUAAUUAUGUUGUAAUGUUCAUAUGUUUCAUAUAUAUCAC
rnacentral:lncRNA from 1 species